GUCCAUUCAGAGAUAUUCAAUAAAUUGGAACGAGAUAGAGAAGAUUAACAUGUCCCAUGCACAAGUUGACAUGCAUCAAUAAAGAAAUCUACAAUCAUUAAUUUUU